rnacentral:rRNA from 1 species
UACGGAGGGUGCAAGCGUUAUCCGGAUUCACUGGGUUUAAAGGGUGCGUAGGUGGGUUGAUAAGUCAGUGGUGAAAUCCCCCGAGCUUAACUUGGGGAACUGCCAUUGAUACUAUUGAUCUUGAAUACGGUGGAGGUCGACGGAAUAUGUCAUGUAGCGGUGAAAUGCUUAGAUAUGACAUAGAACACCCAAAUUGCGAAGGCAGUUGACUACGCCCAGUAUUGACACUGAGGCACGAAAGCGUGGGGAUCAAACAGG